rnacentral:rRNA from 1 species
UACGUAGGCAGCGAGCGUUGUUCGGAGUUACUGGGCGUAAAGGGUGUGUAGGCGGUUCUUUAAGUUUGGUGUGAAAUCUCCCGGCUCAACCGGGAGGGUGCGCCGAAUACUGAGGGACUUGGAGUGCGGGAGAGGAAAGUGGAAUUCCUGGUGUAGCGGUGAAAUGCGUAGAUAUCAGGAGGAACACCGGUGGUGUAGACGGCUUUCUGGACCGUAACUGACGCUGAGGAGCGAAAGCGUGGGGAGCGAACAGG